AUUGAACGCUGGCGGCAGGCCUAACACAUGCAAGUCGAACGAGUGGCGGACGGGUGAGUAAUGUCUGGAAAACUGCCUGAUGGAGGGGGAUAACUACUGGAAACGGUAGCUAAUACCGCAUACUAUCGGAUGUGCCCAGAGGGGAUUAGCUAGUAGGUGGGGUAAAGUCUCACCUAGGCGACUAUCCCUAGCUGGUCUGAGAGGAUGACCAGCCACCCGGGAACUGAGACACGGUCCAGACUCCUACGGGAGGCAGCAGUGGGGAAUAUUGCACAAUGGGCGAAAGCCUGAUGCAGCCAUGCCGCGUGUAUGAAGAAGGCCUUCGGGUUGUAAAGUACUUUCAGCGGGGAGGCGUUACCCGCAGAAGAAGCACCGGCUAACUCCGUGCCAGCAGCCGCGGUAAUAC
rnacentral:rRNA from 1 species